UACGGAGGAUGCAAGCGUUAUCCGGAAUGAUUGGGCGUAAAGCGUCCGCAGGUGGCAAUGUAAGUCUGCUGUCAAAGCGUCUGGCUCAACCAGAUAAAGGCAGUGGAAACUACAUAGCUAGAGUAAGGUAGGGGUAGAGGGAAUUCCUGGUGUAGCGGUGAAAUGCGUAGAGAUCAGGAGGAAUACCGGUGGCGAAGGCGGCAUCCUGGACCGACAUUGACGCUGAGGAGCGAAAGCUAGGGGAGCAAACAGG
rnacentral:rRNA from 1 species